ACAAAGAUAAAAACGCAACGUGCAUGUCGUUUUAUGCAUUAGCGCCGGUAGGUAGCCCGGCCGUCCUGUAUGACAGGAUAAGUAACCCUCCCUCCUUGGGUUGUCCGUUCUUUGUUCAUAA
rnacentral:ncRNA from 1 species